GACGAACGCUGGCGGCGUGCCUAAUACAUGCAAGUAGAACGCUGAAGGAGGAGCUUGCUUCUCUGGAUGAGUUGCGAACGGGUGAGUAACGCGUAGGUAACCUGCCUGGUAGCGGGGGAUAACUAUUGGAAACGAUAGCUAAUACCGCAUAAGAGUAGAUGUUGCAUGACAUUUGCUUAAAAGGUGCAAUUGCAUCACUACCAGAUGGACCUGCGUUGUAUUAGCUAGUUGGUGGGGUAACGGCUUACCAAGGCGACGAUACAUAGCCGACCUGAGAGGGGGAUCGGCCACACUGGGACUGAGACACGGCCCAGACUCCUACGGGAGGCAGCAGUUGGGAAUCUUCGGCAAUGGACGGAAGUCUGACCGAGCAACGCCGCGUGAGUGAAGAAGGUUUUCGGAUCGUAAAGCUCUGUUGUAAGAGAAGAACGAGUGUGAGAGUGGAAAGUUCACACUGUGACGGUAUCUUACCAGAAAGGGACGGCUAACUACGUG
rnacentral:rRNA from 1 species